UACGGGGGGGGCAAGCGUUGUUCGGAAUUACUGGGCGUAAAGGGCUCGUAGGCGGCCAACUAAGUCAGACGUGAAAUCCCUCGGCUUAACCGGGGAACUGCGUCUGAUACUGGAUGGCUUGAGGUUGGGAGAGGGAUGCGGAAUUCCAGGUGUAGCGGUGAAAUGCGUAGAUAUCAGGAGGAACGCCUGUGGUGUAGACGGCUCUCUGGACCAUUACUGACACUGAGGUACGAAAGCGUGGGUAGCAAACAGG
rnacentral:rRNA from 1 species